rnacentral:pre_miRNA from 1 species
UACCCUGUAGAUCCGGAUUUGUGUGAAAACUGCUACACCAAUCACAAAUUCGCUUCUAGGGGAGUA